rnacentral:lncRNA from 13 species
AUGCCUGAGUUCACAGAGGACAGAAUUCCUUCUAAGGCAGCCUGCCAAGGACACCAGAAACCAAGCAGGGGUCUGUGGCUCCGUCAUCUGGCUAUGACCAAAUUUGUUCUUUCUGCCUUGCCUGUUAGUGAACCUACUGCCAGACUGAGAUGUAAAUGCCAUUUCUGGUGUACAUUAAGAAGAUGUGAAAUAAUUCGCUCAAAGCCAUGGUUAUGGAGCAAAAUAUUAAAAAUAAAUCCAUCAGCUCAUUUGAUAUGUUAUUUGACUUCUGAGAUACCACCAGCAAUAAUUCUGAGGAUGUUGUACCAUUGGAUAACAUCAGCUACCAUCUAUCAUCUAAUGACAAUUUCCUUUCCAUAACUGUCGGGGUCCGGCACGUCUGCCAGGGGACUACCGACCUGCGGGAGUCCCCGAGACCGCCAACAUAGAUGUCUCGUUCAACCUGAGAGAGAGAGUGUGUGGAAAAGAAAGAACAUAGAAAAGUAGAGUCUGGAGGGCUGCAUGAAGAUUAUGGCCAAAACGCAGCAAAUUUAUUUUUGUGGGUUACAGCUUUUAUACCUUUUGUCUUGUUUACAUUUACCUUAUCUCAGCAGAAAGAAACAAAGGGGAAGACAGAAAGGAAACAGAAACUCCAUAAAAUAGUUAUCAGGGGCUUGUGAUAUCCUGCUCAGAAGGCAGUUUAAGGGGGCUAGUGGUAGUAGUUUACAUUUCAAUGAUUUUACAUUUCAAAGAUACAAUGGCGCCCUUAAGGUGGCUAGUUAAACCUGUUUUUCAUCAGGAGCUAAAACAAAGGCUUGGCUCCAGGGAAAAUAUGGGCAGAGGUCUCUGCUCCUCUUAGGCAUUUCAAUUGCAGCAAGUUUAUUGCUUACACAGAGACUGAAGGGGGACAUGGAAACAGACAGCACAAUGUCCUCAUAAACUGCAGGCCUUUGCUUUGCAUUCUGUUGUUGCUUUUAGUGAGUCAGCUCACGGCCCUGUCUCACUUGACAGCCCUCGAGGUGAGGAAAUGCAGUACAGGUCCAGCAGCCAAACUGGGGCAAGUCAACUAGCUGUCUCGAGCCCUUGGCGCGAACACCACACGUAACUGCCUGGCUCUGAGAGCCAAUGCCCUGUAUUUUAAGUUUUCUUUGUUGGUUGGUUUUUCUUUGUUUUUGGUAGUACUCCAUUUCUGGUGGCAAUUUUGUAUUAUGUAGCAUUUACUAUGACAUGCUGUUGUAACAACCAAUCUAAAAGCCUCAGUAAUGUAUAGCAAUCAAGUUUUAUUGUUCAGUUACCUUACCUAUUGGCUGUGGGUGAGCUGUGGUUCUGCUCUUGUGUUUUCUCGUUCUCAGAUCCAGGCUAAGUCCAGCUUUUCACUGAAUUUGCCAAUUACAUAACAGAAAAUAGCAAUGGCCAAUGUAUUCAAUUGGCUUUUAAAACUUCAGCUCUAAAGUAACACAUAUCACUUCCCCUCAUAUUCACUGCAAAAGCAAAUCAAAUGGACAAACCAUGGCCCCAUGAUGUCAAUGUGGCAGAGAAGUACAAUAUAAUCCUCACACAGGGAAGGCAACAAACAAUUGGGAACAAUAGUGUAAUCUACCACAGCAUAUCAUCAUUUAGAAUAUUUGCUAUUGCUUUCCAUGCAUAAUCUUUAUCAUGAAGUGUGUACAUGUGUGUGCAUGUAUAUUUUAAAAGAUAAUUGCUGAGUUUAUCCAAACUCUUCACACUAUCUAAUGAUAUAAAACAGUUGUCCACUUUUAUUGAUACAAUAUUUAUAAUUUUUCCUAUACUUAACUACUCUUGAAUUUCUAAAAUACACUAUACUCAGUAAGUGUGGAUUAUUCUCUUGGUAACCCAGUGAAUUCUAUUUAAUAAAGUAUAACAUUUUUGCUUCUAUAUUAAAUAU